UACGAAGGGGGCUAGCGUUGCUCGGAAUCACUGGGCGUAAAGGGUGCGUAGGCGGGUCUUUAAGUCAGGGGUGAAAUCCUGGAGCUCAACUCCAGAACUGCCUUUGAUACUGAAGAUCUUGAGUUCGGGAGAGGUGAGUGGAACUGCGAGUGUAGAGGUGAAAUUCGUAGAUAUUCGCAAGAACACCAGUGGCGAAGGCGGCCGACUGGGCCGACCCUGACGCUGAGGCGCGAAGGCGUGGGGAGCGAACGGG
rnacentral:rRNA from 1 species